CCUACGGGGGGCAGCAGUGGGGAAUAUUGGGCAAUGGGCGCAAGCCUGACCCAGCAACGCCGCGUGAAGGAAGAAGGCUUUCGGGUUGUAAACUUCUUUUCUCAGGGACGAAGCAAGCGACGGUACCUGAGGAAUAAGCCACGGCUAACUACGUGCCAGCAGCCGCGGUAAUACGUAGGUGGCAAGCGUUAUCCGGAUUUACUGGGUGUAAAGGGCGUGUAGGCGGGAAAGCAAGUCAGAUGUGAAAACCGUGGGCUCAACCUGUGGCCUGCAUUUGAAAAUGUUUUUCUUGAGUGCUGGAGAGGCAAACGGAAUUCCUAGUGUAGCGGUGAAAUGCGUAGAUAUUAGGAGGAACACCAGUGGCGAAGGCGGUCUGCUGGACAGCAACUGACGCUGAGGCGCGAAAGCGUGGGGAGCAAACAGGAUUAGAUACCCGAGUAGUC
rnacentral:rRNA from 1 species